rnacentral:rRNA from 1 species
AGAGUUUGAUCCUGGCUCAGGACGAACGCUGGCGGCGUGCCUAAUACAUGCAAGUCGAGCGGAGCACUUCGGUGCUUAGCGGCGGACGGGUGAGUAACACGUAGGCAACCUGCCUGUAAGAUGAGGAUAACUAUCGGAAACGAUAGCUAAUACUCAAUAGCUUUAUUUUUCGCAUGGAAGAUAAAUGAAAGACGGAGCAA